rnacentral:rRNA from 1 species
UAGGGAAUCUUCGGCAAUGGGGGCAACCCUGACCGAGCAACGCCGCGUGAGUGAAGAAGGUUUUCGGAUCGUAAAGCUCUGUUGUAAGUCAAGAACGAGUGUGAGAGUGGAAAGUUCACACUGUGACGGUAGCUUACCAGAAAGGGACGGCUAACUACGUGCCAGCAGCCGCGGUAAUACGUAGGUCCCGAGCGUUGUCCGGAUUUAUUGGGCGUAAAGCGAGCGCAGGCGGUUAGAUAAGUCUGAAGUUAAAGGCUGUGGCUUAACCAUAGUACGCUUUGGAAACUGUUUAACUUGAGUGCAAGAGGGGAGAGUGGAAUUCCAUGUGUAGCGGUGAAAUGCGUAGAUAUAUGGAGGAACACCGGUGGCGAAAGCGGCUCUCUGGCUUGUAACUGACGCUGAGGCUCGAAAGCGUGGGGAGCAAACAGGAUUAGAUACCCUGGUAGUCCACGCCGUAAACGAUGAGUGCUAGGUGUUAGACCCUUUCCGGGGUUUAGUGCCGCAGCUAACGCAUUAAGCACUCCGCCUGGGGAGUACGACCGCAAGGUU